rnacentral:misc_RNA from 1 species
UUUCCGUAGGUGAACCUGCGGAAGGAUCAUUAAAGUAUUUCGGUCGUGCUUGCAUGACUUUGAGGCGCAAGCCUCUGAUACAUAUCCUUACACCUGUGAACUGUCUGUCAAGCUGAGCCCUUUUGGGUGACGCUUGUCAUUUUACCAAACAUUACUCUGUAAAAAUGUCAAUCAUUAUAAACAAAAUAAAACUUUUAACAACGGAUCUCUUGGCUCUCGCAUCGAUGAAGAACGCAGC